GCCAGGAGACCAUCUUUUUGUAUUAAGAACCUGAAAACAGAAAGUAGCAUCAUCUGAAAAUUUAAGAUUCAGUUUUUAAAAAAAACUAUGCUAGCCAUUCCCAAAAUCUUCAACAUUUCCAGUUAAAUUUUUUAUUUUAUUUUUUGAAUGUCAAGAAUUUUGCCAGCACCAGCUUUCAAAAACACUUGAAAACAUCCAAAGGGUACAGAAGAACGCCAGGUAGAUCUUUAAACUGUGGCAAACAAAAAUAGGCAGCUUGAUCUAUGGAACAAAACUGUUAAAAGACAAUAAUAACAAUAGAAAACCAUUUCAAUUUCUUUUUCCUCUAAGGAAUAUGAUCUUAAAAUGAAUGAUGCAUCGUAUCAUAAGAAUUGUAAAUAACACUCUGUCCUGCUCUGGAAAAAUGCAUCAAGAAGAUCAACCUACCAGUUAUCACAGAAUCUUUGGCAUAUGGGAACAGAAGAAAUAGCAGCUGCUUGUUUGGAACGAGCCCAGCGAGCAGUAUAUGAAGAAGAAUAACAGCAACAUCUGGAGCACCACUUGAAUAUUAUCAACAUCAUUAACAAAAUCACCAUCUGUCAGUUGGAAAAGGCAGCUUUUCUUGGAACAGCUUACAUCCUGCGACAAAACCUUUAAAGCCAUCAAACAACAUCUGCCGAUCCUAGGUCCUUGAUAAAGACUCAAUAGUUGGAUAAAAAUCUACUCUAAACAUCUGGCUAAUUGCACAACAAACCAUAAUAAUGUAUUAAAUUUAACUUAUGUCACCCAAUUUUUUUAUGUUAUUGUCAGCCUCCGCUUUGCUACUGCUUCGGCUGCCA